rnacentral:misc_RNA from 1 species
CUUGGUCAUUUAGAGGAAGCCGAGGCCCUGGUCGAGAAGCACCUGCGCCAGCGCAACGUGCGGCUCGUCAACGAGAUGAGCCCCGACCUGCCCGCGGUGGUCGCCUCGGGUGACCAGCUGAAGCAAGUGGUCCUGAACCUGCUUCUGAACGCGCAGGAUGCGAUGCCGGAGGGUGGCCAAAUCUACGUGUCGACGCACGUGUCGCACGAGGCCGAUCCGGCGUUCCUCCUCUCCGAGUCGGUGCACAUCGUGAUCCGCGACACCGGCAAGG